ACAGAGUUUUCUUCGUCUUCACGCUUGAAUGUCUUUUCAGACAUUUUUUCCUUCUCUGUACAGGUAGCCACUGCUCAUCAGGCUAAUGAAGUGGCUGGUGGGCUGUUGGGUGAAGCGAGUUCCGCAUCGAUCGUUUAUAAAAUGACCCCAGAUUUUACAAAUCGUGACAUUCUGAUUGUGUUGGAAACGUGUUUAAAAUGCAGUGGUGUGCAGCGGCAGCGUUAAUGGCAAUUCUUAAACCCACUUGCGGGUUGCAAUCUGUAUCUUCAGAUUAGCCAGGAGAAAGAGAAAUGGCAGAUAAAAUAUCCGUUGUGGUUUACUGUAGUUAGGCCAUGCCUGGAAUAACCAGCGUAGGCAAGGGAAAGGAAAGGAUUGAGAUUCGCUCCCUGCUGCUGGGAGGCGAGGUGAAUUUCCUUGCAAGCAAGUUGAGAAUGAUUGUUGACGUAAUUCUGGCACGUGUGUGUUACUGGUGUGUUACUGGUGCAUUACUGGUGUGUGUAACCCUGCACGCGUGGCCCUGGGCCAGCACCAGUUGGUGAGUGGGAAUGCACAGAUUUAAUAGUAAGGGGUAUUUUCAACCCUGCUCACCACUGAACAGUUUUAUUGAUACCUUGGGAAGGCUUGGAAAACCUACUCAAAAUAAAACUUAAUGCCUGGCCGACAGAGCACAUAACUUUUAUAACAUUGAAAAUGUCAUCAAGCGAACCACUUUGUUGCCUCUGCUGGUGUCUUUUUUAAUGUCCGACUAUUCUGGAUGCUCUGUAAGGAAAAGAAGACUCCAGGCUGUUGGAUUUCAUGGCUGCCUGUCUAGCUGUGUUUAAUGGCAGGCUACAAAACCUGCGAGUAUGUGAUCGCAGGAGUGGUUAAUUGUUGGAGCACUGUGGGUAGAACGUUGUCUGGCGAGGGUUCUCCUGGCUUGGCCACCAAGUUGUGAUCGUGGGCACGGAGGGAAUGAGCACUUAGACGGCAAGUAGCUCCGGGCCAGCAAAGAGAGGGUGGUGUUAUUUUGUUACCCUUGCGAAACGCAGAUAACAUCUGGAGUUCAGCAUUAGCUAUUGAUCGGUGGGGUUGGAGGGAGCCUGGCAGGGCGAUGAUGAUGAUGAUGCCGAUGUCCUUCUCACCCGACGGGGGACGGCAGCCCCAGGACACACGGACGUGCUGCCCGGCAAGCGGGACGGACGGCUCGUCCUUGCGCUGUUCCCUUCCUGGGCCGUCCGGACCCCGGUGGUGGGAUUUGCAGGUUUGUUGUAUCCACUACAACCCAGAAAAAACGCCAUGUGCUGCAGGCUGCUCUGUGUUGUGUGGGAAGGAAAAUGAGUGUGUUUGGCAGCUCCCCUUUCCUUCCGCAGCUGUGGAGCAGGAGGGUGAGGCGAGCGAGGGAGGGCUGCAGGUGGUCACCGCAGUGGGACGCUCCGGUCCGGCCUCAUGCGCUCCCCACGCGUCUCGUUCCGCGGCUGCUCCAGCUCCAGCUCCUCUUGAUGUGUUGUCCCAGUCCCGCGGCUGCUCCAGCUCCUCUUGACGUGUUGUCCCAGUCCCACGGCUGCUCCGGCUCCAGCUCCUCUCGACGUGUUGUCCCAGUCCCACGGCUGCUCCGGCUCCAGCUCCUCUUGACGUGUUGUCCCAGUCCCACGGCUGCUCCGGCUCCAGCUCCUCUCGAUGUGUUGUCUCAGUCCUGUGGCUACUCCAGCUCCUCUCCCUGUGCGUCUCAGUCCCGGGGCUGCUCGGGCUCCAGCUCCUCUCGAUGUGUUGUUUCAGUCCUGUGUUUGCUCUGGCUCCAGCUCCUCUCCAUGUGAUGUUUCAGUCCUGCGGCUGCUCCAGCUCCUCUCCCCGCACGUCUCAUUCCGCGGCUGCUCCGGCUCCAGCUCCUCUCCCCGCACAUCUCAGUCCCGCAGCUUCAACUUGCAAAAAGACAAAUAGAGAUUCUGAGUGAUCGAAUCCCCCAAGCUGUAACUGCCGGUAUUGAAUGUAAUACUGUGUGUUUUUCAAAGCCAUACAGCCCCAGAGUUAUUUCCGUAUCAAUUAACUCUCUCAGAUGGUUGGGAAUGGCAGGGAAGUGACAGCAUGUGAUCAGGACUGCUUUAAUCUUUAAACAAAAUUAAAGGUAGGCAGUCUGUGUGAUACAAACAAUAUCCCAUGUGCUGGGGGCUCAGACAUCUCCACAAGACAAGCAUUGAAGCGGCAGCGUGGUUGGUGUUUCCGUGCCCGCGAGGACGGGAGGGCCGGGCUGUACCGGCCCAGGGGCGCAGGGGUGCGGGGUUUGGUCCAGAACUGCAGAAUCCACACUGAAAGCUUCGUGCCUGUGCAUCUCGUGCCACCGAGACACAGUGCAGGCUCUGUCCUGUUUGCAUCUUCGGUGCAUGAAAUUGUCCAGGUGAAGCAGUGGGCAUAAUGGGUGUAUUUGUUGGGAGAGGCGGGGGUGUUGUUAGUGAGCUGUCGCUGGGCCUGGGCGGAGGAUGCUGCUGUUCUUAGGAGAGAAAUAGCCCUUUGUGUUCUGUCCGGCUGCCAAAGCCUCAGUUUUGUAGAUGACCCUCUGAAGUUAUAAUUGACAUUUUUAUAGAUGAGACAUAAAUAUAAUUAAGAGUCGCUGUAAUUAUUUGUUUAUUGCCAUCUCCCUCAAGUAAUACAAGGUCAUGUGCAUUUAAAAAUGCAUCCCCAGGCAGUUUUGAGCGAAGAGUACUUAAAAUAUAUGGAAAUAAUUGCCUAAUUUGGUCAUUUUCAGCAGAGCUUUCCUUGGCAGCAGUCUGGCGAUAGUCGCCUGUGCUUUAAGGAGGAACCUUUCGCCUUCUCAUGUAGUUUUGCUUUUAGAAGGAUGGAGCUAAAGCGAGAGCUGCUGUUCAGCCAGGUUUGACCUGCGGGAUUUUGGCGCUGGUGUUUUUUUAAGAGCAUAAAGUGCUUUAAGGGCUUUGGCUGAAAAGCGUGACAUAAGAUAUAAAUAGAGGCAAUAGUAUUGUUAUUGCUUCCCUAGAUGAGAUGAGCUUUUAUUCCCCUGUCAGUGGUAGCAGUUCAUAAACGGGGCUGCAGAGAGUGCGGUUGUUUGGAGGGGAGCGCUGGCUGGGGUGAAAUCCAUCCCAGGACACCAGGAGAGCGACUGUAACCUGCAUGUGCAGAGACGGGGGUGUUUAUCUCCUGCCACGGGCUCGGCGGGAGCAGUAGCUGCAGACGGGUUUUUUAGAGUGCCUUUUAAGCAAAUAUUUGCUUGCAAACUUCACAUGAGGGCUGCAAAGAUUCAUUAGUUAAUGUUAUUUACCAUUUACAGACCUAUCAGUGAAAGGGGUGAUGGCUGAGCGGUAACGCCAUCAGUCAUACCUAUCUGUUUAGAUUGCAGCUAUGACAUGUGCCAUAUUAAUAUUUUAUAUGUGUAUGUUUUUCAUAUUACAUCCUCAGUUAUAAAUAUUCAUGUCGUACAACGCGUUGGCGGCUGCAGAGCAAUAUCCACAUCUCCCCGUCCCGGCGGGACCGCGGAGCAGCGGGGACGGGCUCGUGUUCGCCCCGGGGCUGCGGCCGCAUCCCCCGCUUUCCCCUUCGGCACCGAUUCCUCCCCCUCGGCCCCUGUGCCGUGCGCUGGGGACCGCCAGGGUGUCCCCAGGGCCGGGGUGACAGCCGCCGCCGCGCUGCUGGGGCUCAGUGCUGCUCCAACACACAGACCAAAAGGACAAGCUGCCAAUUCUUGGAUCCGUCUCCCUCAUCUUUUAAUUUCCUGGCCAGCGCCUAUUGCUGCUGCGUCAGGGCACCUUGUGUGAAGUGUGAAAGUGACGGCGUUGGGGCUGGGCUGGGCCCCGCGUCCCGGUGGGCUCUGCCUCAGAGUGCGGAUCAGGCUCCCGGCCACGCUGUUCGAGGAGAUUAUUGCACGUCUCGGGUGGUUACCGUCACUCUGCCCCCAGCCUCGCGCUGGAGAACGCCACCUGAGGCUUGGAAUAAUUGCCCAGCUACGUACUGUCUGUCAUACCUUAUUGCUUAAUUUUAUACCAGUAAUGAAAAUUGCAUCCAGAGGAGGAGGAGGAGUGAACAGCUGCCCUGGCCGGGCCGCACCGGAGGAGUAGGUGUGUGCAAAUGCUUCCUCGGAAGAAGAGGAGCGACUCGGCUCGCCGGCAGCGCUUGGGAGAUGGCUCGGCAUUUUUAUUUUCUCAUUUAACAAAGGCAAUAAUAAUAAGAAGAAAAAAGUCCCACCGACCUCCAGUGAAGGCUGCAAACACAGCCCAGCAAUUAGUUUGGAAGUCUUCAGUUCCGCAGUCAGACUUUAAGAAAGUCGGGAUGUGAGCUCUGCCAGGAGCAGUGUUGGACACACACGGUGAUCUGCCCAGCUGGAGCUGCCUGGAGGAGACAGCGGGGUCAUUGGAUCCAAAUGCAGUUCAGCAUCCUCAUUGUCACUGUGAGCAACCGGCUUGAGUGACAGACAAAUUAGCAAAAAUCCUGAUGAUCUGUGAAUGGCAAGAAACCCUAAACGCCGUGAAUAAGAUCUUGUUUGUGAUUCUGCUCAGCCCAUGAAACCCACCCCCUUUUCCUUCCCAGAAUGCAGGAGCAAAGCGAUCAGCGGGUAUUGCUUCCAGUCUUGUGGGACUGUUUGAAAAUGUUAAUUGAGGAAAGGCCAGAAACAGGAGGAGAACAAAAUGCAACAUUUACAUAGAUGGGCAGUCUUAUUACAGCCAGCAGAAUUAAAAUCUGCAUGGUGACCUUGAGAGAACAGCAGCUCCUCGCAGCACGGCCGUGCCCGAAAAUGGGAGAUGGCAACGCUGAGACGCUGCGCAGCGUUCGCUCCCCGGCGUGCGCUUUUCUUCUCCCGGCAGAUCACUGAAGGCAGACGGCGAGUCCUCUCAAACACGCCUUGUGGGGGGAAGGAGCUUUUGUUUUUUGUAGAGCUGUGCUUUCCAUCUGCUGGGUUUGCUAGUGCCGGUGAGGAGGCUGUUCCCGGCAGAGGGGCUGCUUUGCCCCCUGCCCGGUGCGGUGCAUCUCUCCAUCAGCCACCUCCUCACUCCCGCCCGGGGCGCGGGGGCUGCUGAAGCCUUUGAUUCUACAAGGUCAUUGCCAUAUGUAAAACCUCCUGGUGAUCUGUUGAAACAAACAUAACGUGUCCCGUAUCCCCAAAAUCUUGAGAUUCAGCAGAAACACGGGUCUCACAAAUAAUGCUGGUAGCGAAGGCUUUUCCCCCCGCGGGUCCUGCUCGAGCGGCUCCGCUGCACCGUGUCCUCGCCAUCCCCGCUGCCCUUCUGGCUUUCUGGACACUGGUUUUUACGUGUUGUUAAUUCGGGGGGCUCUGGUCCAGGCUGUGGGCUGUAUCUGUGCAGGUACAUGGAUGGGUACGUGGCUCUGGGGUGCUGGAGCCCAGGGCUGAGCCGGCCCCGCGCCGGGGAGUAGAAAUCGCUCCCGGGGCCACUUGUGCGAGCAAAGAGCUUGGGGUGACUGUGCUGUGGAAGGAGGGCUUGGCAAUGGGGUGAGCAAAUGGAAACAUUGCUGCCCCGCAAUUAACAGUUUACAGCUCUUGCGUGGAUACAUUCCACCUAAUCAAUCCACUUGUAUUAGCAAAUUAGCAGCUGUUAAUAUUACUGGCCUUAGAUCCGUAUGGCGUGUGCUGCGGCACCGCAGUGUGUGCAGGGAGGAGCAGACCCCUCUGAGAACCGCGACUCCUGCUCCGUGUCGUGCUCCUCGUGUCGCGCGGGGCUCGCGGGCUCCACCGCUUCUCAUCGGUGCCUCUCGCCCCUACUCAGCGCUUUUCCCAAAAUGUUAAGUUUCAACUGAGGAUUUCUUUAAUUAGGUUGAUUAAUAUGUACUGGCAAGGAGUGAUUUUGCUUAUCCUGUAUUCCUGUAUGUUUUUUGUAUAUAUAAGCUGAAAUAAGAACAUCUGGCACUUUUUUUUUUGCUGGAUUCGAUAGAAUAAGUUGAGAAACAGCUUCUUUCAGAAAACUGCAAGUCAGCAGAUUUGGGUUGUGUUUUUUUUUUCUUUUUAUUUUAUCGAGUGUUUUCUAGACCAGAAAGAGCACCUUAAACUGGUGUAAUAAUUCACAGAUUGUUCUCCAUUGUAAAACACCUAUGGAUGCGAACACCGUCCCCACUGUCCGCUUUGGCAGGGGAGCAGAGCGGGCGGACCCGGCCCCACUGGCCCCGCGCAGCCCCUCCUGGGCUCCCAGGGCUCUUUGUGGGCGCCGUCUGUCCGCGUUGACUCCGAGCGGCACCGUCGCUGGCCCCGCGCGAGUCAUUUGGGAGCUGGGUGGUUGGCGUCAGUCGCAGUGAUGGAAACCGGCCAUCCAUGGUGCGGGUCAUGCGUGGGCAUUCAACACGUGUUCAACAGCACACGCAGAGUUGGGGCAGGGUCUGUAGGGACAGGCCUGGCAAGAGGAUGCUGUAAGUGACAGAUAUUCCCCCGUAGGCCCAUGGGAGGUUUGGAUGAGCCGCAGUCACUCAAGUGUAUUGUGGCCGGUUUGGCUUUUGCUGAUUUCUCUGCUUGUGCAGCCCGUUUCCCUCCAGUCGGGUCUGCGUUCUGGAUGCCAGAGCUCUGCUCUCGGUUUGUGUCCCUCCUGCGGGCACAGAGAACUGAAAACAGUGGGUUUUUCUCCAGACCCUGGAAGUUCCUGCAAUUGCAGGAAAACAACAAACAAAAUCAGAUGACAAAAGCGUGGGGUGGGUUUUCUUGCAGACGGGCAGCGCGUCGCCCCUGCCCGGUUUGGCUGAGCUCCGCUUGUCCCUGGCAGGGCCGGAGCACAAAGCGCCGGUUCCGGACCCGGCUGCGGUUCGGGGGGUUCGGGCGGCACGUGGGGCUGGGGGCUGCGCAGCCGCCGGGGGGGGAGCAGCUGCCGCGGGAGGACGGGAGCAGCUGCCCGAGCGGAAUGAGUCAUUCUGGGAAGAAAUGGGUUUGAUAAAUAAUAAAACAGUGGUAUUAACAACAGAUGCUUUCCAGGUCAGAUGACUUUGAUGAAAGCACCCAACAGCCACGGGUAAUGGUAUGAAGAAUAUGUAUCUAUAUUUCUAGAUCUAUCUGUAUGAAGAGGCAUAUAAACAAGUGGGUGUUUGUGUAUGGAUGUGUGUGUGUACAUGCUCACGUAUGAAUGUACCUGGCGUUUUAUUUCUGUUUUAAGGUGACAGUAGAGAGUGUCGCUGCUCCUGUUCUUUGCAGGCUUUGCAGCUUGCCUAGAAAACCUGAAAUGUGCUCAAUAUCUCCCAAAUCCGGCGCCUUCCCUCCUGCCUCCCCCCGCGCUGCCUCCCUUUGUUUCUAUAUCCAUCCUGUUUCAUUUCUAUAACUGUUUUGAUUUGUAAAAUGCUACGCCUUAUACAUCGGUUCCUUUAUGAUGAUUUAGUAUGCUCCUCUUAUCUUUCACCUUCCAUCUUUGAUAAGAGUGUUUUACAAAUGAAUUGGUACCUGACACGGUGAUCGGCCGCGGCUGCGGGAGGAGGAGGAUGGGGGACCUGCGGAGCCUUCCCAGCUCGCUGCUGCUUCCCUCUCUUUCCUCACCACUAAAUUGCUAAUUAGUCAAGUUUCCCAUCAUCGCCGUGCGCUGGGGGACGUGGGGGGAGGCAGGAGGGUGACUGGGAGCUGGGGUGGGUUUGUUUUACCCUUGAAGCCAUAAAAACGACCCUUGGGACGUGGGGUUUCUCCAGGCUGACCCAACGUUGCCUGCAAGUUUCAUAUCCAAGUAGUUAAAAUGUUUUUGGUGAAGUGUUGGUUGUGCUUGCGGAACAUGAUUCACCGGGGGAAGGCGCCGGCAGUGCGACUAUCAGUAAAUACAACGGUCUGGCAUGGCAGGUCAUUUUUAUUUUAAUAUAGUAGAUUUAAUGAACUCUUGUCUUUAUUAUUCAUGGUACUUGCGGAAUGCAUCCAUUUCCCCUCCCUAAUGACGUUGGUUACAGAUCCAUCCUUCGUUAGAGGCUUUAUUACGGCUGGCGAACUUAACUCUCUCCAAUACGUUCCCAAAGCGCAAAGGGUUAUCUAAUAAAUUUUUGUAUUUAACAUUCAAUACCAUUAGUACUAAAUGUGGCCAGAAAUUCCCCGAGUAGUUUAUGCGUUGUUAAUUACUGUUAUUAUUGGAUCUGGUGGAAUGUUGUUUGCCAGGCCCCGCGGUGUGCGUGUGUUUUAUGGGGGACGGUGGCGGCUGGUGCCGCCGUGGCACUCGCCCGUGGUUUGUGUGCAGGUCCAGACCCCAAAGCUGCUGUCAAGUGAUUUAAUAGCGUUUGUGUCCAGCCUAACCCAAUCUAUCUCACCAAAAAAUAAUCCUGCAUCAAAAUUACUGCUUUUGGAACUGUCUUGUCUCUUUUGAGUGGGAACUGGAGACAACUAGACAAGCUUGAAUGAAAGCGAAUAAAGAAACAUUACUUUCUGAACACAAUCUUCUGUUAGCAGUCACUUUUCAACAGCCAUUCAAUCAAAAUGCUAAUAGCAGAGGCAACAAGGGAGCGGGGUUAUUGUAACACUAAUUGAUAGGCUGCGGGGAUGGGUUUUGAUAAGUGCUGUUGAAGAUAUAUUUUUGAAAUAUGAUUCUCUUUAAUUACAGUGAUACUAAUAAAAAUGAACAAAUGAUUUAAUGAUAGUUUUCUAGGUAAUGGCUUGAAGAUUUUUCUUCAAGUUAUUUUGUAGCGUUUUUUUGUUUAAACCAGAAAUUAUGAAAAUCACCUUAAAAAUGAAGCUGUAGUGGAAGGUGGUGACUUUAUCUGGACUUGCGUGGCUACUUUGCAUCAAAAUUAAUACUGUCAAAUCUGGAGCUCUUGAAUAACAAAUCCAGUCGUUUAUUUGUACAAUAGACUGUGCUGAAAGCUCCUUGUUGAAGCCACGUUGCAUGUGGGAAUGCAUUCAAUAUCUAAUGCAUACAGCAAUUAGGAUCAAUUAUGCCAGCGAGGGUUUGACGGUACGCGUGGGGGGGCGCAGAAUGGGCUGAGGGGUGUUCACUGAGGUUCUAACGUGCAGCGGGGUGCCGGGUUUGGUGAUAUUAGUGGGGAUUAUUGACGUUCAGUGACAGGAAGCUCCGAACUCAGACCCGCGUCCGCGGUCACAGGCAGCCUCUGUUUCACCUAAUUUUUGCUGAAUUAAUCGAUAGCGAAACAAAGGCUUUUCUCCUUGGGGGAGGAUGUUUUUCCUGUUGUUGCUGUUUGUGGGGCAGGGAGCGAUGCUCCCUCCUGCCUUUCAAUUUGUCAAGCGCUCUCUCAAAGAUCUGCCAGAGAAGAAAGGGUAAUUAAUAGGCUUGAAGUCAUUUCCGAUGUGUCAGUAUUUCUGCCUCGCUUCCAAGUGAUAAUGUUCGCUGGCUCGAGGCCUCCGGGGAGCCUUCCAUCUUAUUAACUUGUCUGGGAGGAACAGUGAGUGGGGACAGCUCGGGCCAGUGGGUGACAUGAAAUGAGGAUUUGUGGUGUAGUGAGCUGUAAACACGGGGGCUGAUGGAGUAAAUGUGGAGAGAUUAAAAAACAAAGGAAAGAAAAUAUAUGAAAAAGGCCACUGGUCACAAGCAGAGCAGCAUGCACCGUGGAGGGGGACACAGUGUAUAUAGGGCAGCCCGAACCUGACCCGUAGAGCUGGACCUGCUGUGGUGCAAGGUCACGCCCGGUCCCCUGUGUCACGCCAGCCCCGGUGUCACCCGUGGUCCCCUGUGUCACCCCGGCCCUGGAGCAGCUGCUGGCCAAGGGCUUCCAGAAGUCAAGUGUGAUUUAUUUUGUUUUAGGAUGCUCAAUUUGAGGCACUGCAAAGGGACACGGGGCCGGGUCCUUGUCCUCAUCGCUUCGGUCUGUUUGCCAAGCGGGUUGGCAGUUUUCAUAGCUUUUCUUAACUGCGUUUGAAAACUUAAGUGUUAACCUUAGGGCACUUAAGUGCGAAGACACCUUGAUUCUGAGAAGAACCGCAAGGAUUAAGCAGUUUUAGGUCCAGUUCUAGAUCCCGUAGAGAGCCUGCGAGGCCGGGACGCGCCCCUGCGCUGCGUUGUGCAGGGGAGCAGAGCGCCUCUUGUUCCAGGGGUCUCAAACACUUCGGAGCCUGAGCUCUGCAUUCCGAAUUUCCAGCCUCCUUGGUGUGUGUCCGUGUAUUCUCUGUCAUCCUUCCACAGGCUCGGUCAGCAGAAGCUGCAUUAGAGAUCUGUGCGAGUGUAGUUGGCAAAAUAAUUGUUGGUUUUGCCCUAACUCGCUGUUGUUAUAUAGCUUCGGGGUCUUGCUUUGGAAGGGGAUGCGCAGGAAAGGUUUCUAGUCGCUGUGUUUGGUAGCUACACCUGUAAUCAUAGGACAGUGUCAAUGCAGGAUUUGGUGUAAUUGCUUCUCCCCCCCCCAAGUUCUAGUGAGGUUUUGUUAACUAGAAUUAGAGCACUUAAAACCAGGUAUUAUUUUUAACCUGUGUUCUGGUUACCCCAUACGGUGCAGAAGGGAGGCCGGGCGGGAUCUCGGUUUCCCGGGCGCAGUGAGCAGAUGCUGUGCCCGUGGAGCGGGUCAGACCUGCGCGGUUCACCCGGCGCCGCGGGCUCUGCCGGGCCGGGCCGGAGCCGCUGGCGGGUGGCUUUGCUCCGAUGUGCUGAGCUGCCCUUGGCCCUCAUGGCAAGCUGCGGGUGCCCUGGGCAGGAGGACGAGGGGCUGCGCCCGCGGGAUCAGACUCGGGGUGAGACGCGGGGCCGUUGCGGAGCGGUGUCCGUGGGCCCGGCCGGGCCGCGCGGCCGCCGAGCCCUGACCGCCUGGCGGAUGUGGGCUUACGUAAGGCUGGUGCUACAUCCACAUAUUUAACCUUCUGCGCUUUGCUUGUUUUGUUUUUAAAUUCUCCUUCGCCCAAAAGCGCACGAGCGGUUUCAUUCGCUGUUGAUCAGCACGGCGGCAGCGCCGGUCUGCACCGCGUACGGCCUGUUCUGGGAGACUGUUCCGUUUUGAUUUUUUAAAGGAGCAAAGCUUGGCGUUUUGGGUCACUGGGAAGGAACAGGACGUCUUUCACGUAUUGACAGGUUUUUUUCUUCUAUUUCUUUUCUGAUCUCACUCCUGUUUGUCAGGCUCACUUUUCAUUUUCCAGAUAAAUGAUUAUGACUAAACAUCUCUGACAAGCCCUUCGCAAAGUGCGAGAAGGCUACAAUGUGGAAAAAAAAGGAGCCACCUCAAAGCUCUUCAGUGAUUAAGCUCCUUAAGUGGCAAGUUGUUCCUCUUGUGCUGCGAGGUGCGUUUCCCCCCGCAAGCCCUUGUUAGGGAGGCACUAGUAUAAUCUAAUUAAAAUUGGUUUUAAUGUUCUGUGAAAAUGAAAACAGAAUCCUUCCUGUUGGGAAGAAUGACUGUGCACGUAUGAGUCUCUGGGUUUUGUUGUUGUUGUUAUCUUAUUCAAAUAUUAACACUGCCUGUGUGCUCCAAAUGAGAGUUUGUGUCCAUCAACAGAGCUUGAUCCUCAAAUUAAGUGAUUAGUGAUAUAUAGGAAUAGGGGGAAGCUGGUCGCUGGACAUUCUUUUUAAAUGCUAACGUUAUUUCCAGGAGGUAAAUAAGGGCAGGAGAUACUGUGCAAUAUCAUCACUGUGAAAUUAAAAUAAAGUCUCGCUAUUUGAGGAUGGAACUUAGCGGCUGAAGGUUUACUCUUCAUCUGAAGCUUCACGCUGAAUUCUUCCAGCUAAUUGCCUGCUGAUUAGUUGAGAGACAGGCAUUGCUAAUGGUGGCUGUGAGCGGCAAAUCAUCCCCUGCAAAGUCCUGGGCUCCAGCGUGGGCAGGGGGUGCUGGGCAGGGGGUGCUGGGCAAGUGAACCAGGGGACGGGGUUCAGGUUCUUGACCUGAGAGUCUUGGUUUUUCCAGUUGCCGACCAGGGCAGAUGUGUCUGGUACGUGUGGCAAUGGAGCGGUGACCUCCAGAGAACAGGGAGCAGCAGCUUCCCUGCGUUCUCUGCUCGGGUUUAGCCAGGGGAAGGUUUUUUGGGGAGGAAAGAAAUACAGAACGUAAAGCUGCAGUUUACUAGGUUGGAAUAAGCACUUUUUUGGUGCGUGGUGAUUUAUUUUGUUAAAAACCAGGGCAUUAUUCAUAAUUGCGUGGCUUUAUGAGAGUAUCCGUAGCAGUGUUCUUCCGCUGGUCGGCUGUGGGAGCUGGAAUAGUAUUUGAAUAGGAGCCGUGGGGAUGGCCGGGCCGCGGCGGGGCCGUGGCGGGUAACGACCUCUGCUAGCGCUGCCGCUCCGGUUAUCACCGCCGGCAUUUAAAUGACAGAGAUUGUUAAGAACAUCCAACUUUUUUAAUGCAGUUAAUGAUCCUCAGCUAUAAAUAGUCUGUUCCAUUGACUGGCAAUAAGGUUUUUGUGCGGAGCCGCGCGGCUUCACUGAGUGUGUUGGGCUUGCUUUUUCCCCUCUGUAUAUACGGUGGGUCCUUUCACCCCGAUUGCUUUACAGGUAUCACCCCACCCUUUGUGAGUUGGGAAAUAAGGUCCCACAGGGCAGGAAUUUGCCUGAGGCCACACGGGGUUUGUGGGUGAACAAGCGGGGACUGGCAGCCCCGUGGUUCCCGGGGCUCGGGAUGGGGCUCCCGGGGUGCCCGCCGCUCGGGGUCACCCCCGGAAUGGUUGGUGAGACAGGCAGCGGUGUGUGCGGUGCCCCAGAAGCUCCCCUGGUACCUCUCAGGGUCAAACACAGCUGUAGGUUCACGGAGCAGAUUUCGGGCCGGGGUUUCAGAGCGCGGCGGCUGGUGCUGCUGGGGCAGGAGCCGCUCUCUCCAGCCGCAGCCGGGAGCUGGUAGCGACCCGGACUUGGUCCGGAGAUGCCUCUGUCCUGGCAGGGCCCUGCUCCGACUCAGUAAACCCCCGAGCACGUGUAGAUCCCCAGAGAAGAGCAGCCUGUGUGAAACCUGGCCAGUGCGUUUGCUGCGCUCGAGAAGCAUCACGAUUGCUUUACCCUGCAGAUUGCUUUACCCUUUACAAAACGUGGCUUGAACUAGCCCGGGAGGCUGAGAGCAGCACUUAAAAGCUCUGAGAGCUGCGAACGCUCUGAGCCGGUCGCUGGAACCCGAGACUCGGGCGGGAGGUCGGGCUGAGCUGUCAUGGGUUUCCAACCCUCGGCACUGGUUGAAUGUCCCAGCAAAAUAACACCAACAGAAAAUCCCCAAACCCUGAACCGACUCCCCAACUUCCACAGCGGCGAUUAAAUGGCCGCGUUUCCCAUUGCCCAGAGCUGCGGUGAGAUUCUGCCACAGCUUUGUUCUCCGUGCCUGCAGACACAAUGGGAAAAGGUCAUCGUGUAAACACCGCUGCUCCAAAGGCAAUUUCUUUGUCUGUUUGGAAAGCCGGGAAGCAAAGGAUAUUCUAAUUGAACUGCUCUGCUGGCGUGACAGCGCUGGGGUGUCUGCCCGGCGCCUUUCUGCUUUCAGGCACAUCUGCAGGUGUAGAUCCCUGUGAUGGAGGAGCCUCCUGCAGGGCUCAACUGCUAUAGGUGCCUUGCGUUUGCUGCUAUAGGUGCCGACCAUUUGCUGCUGUAUGUGCCAAGCUUUUGCUGCUCUAGGUGCCCUGUGUUUGCUGCUAUAGGUGCCGAUCGCAGGUGCGGAUGGAGCUGCGGGGGGUCUGGGCCGGGGGCACCUCGGCUGUGCAAACGCUCCAGGGAACGCUCUGGUGUGUGUAAUUAGUUCACCUUCUCCUUUGCCUGCGACUGCUGUUCCUGGAGCUUUUGUUUUUGAGCAUAAAGAUUUCCCCAACGGUUUGAACAAAGGUUGAGCGCGUGGGGUAAUCCAUAAAACAAUGUCACCAAAAACGCAGGGAAGAGAAGGCGGCUUUUGAUAAAGCGUGCGCACCUGGGAGCUGGGCUGGAGCCGCUGGACAAGGUCACCUCGGGGGGUGGCAGAUGAGCGAGCAGCAGGAGUUGGGGUGCAAACCCGCUGGUCUGUGGGUGCGGGAUGGGCCGCCAGAGCAGGGGCUCCUGCUGCACUCGUGCUGACCGAGUCGCGGUUAUUUGAGGUCCGAUGCUCGGCAAAGCAAGCGCCUCUCUCUGCCUUGUCUAUCCGUGCGUGAUCUCAAAAUGCAGCUGCCGAGGAAGGAAAGCACCCACUGUACCUGAGGAGUGUUAGAAAGCAUCCUGAAAUUAUAGAUGGGAUUAUUAGUGAAGCGCUCUGGGUUUUGUGCCUGCAGCGUGCCUGCCUGAGUCUUGCUUUCCUUUUCCAUUACCAGCAGAUCUGUUUUAUAGAGCUAUUCGGCUCUGUGUGGUCCCUAUUAAAAGUUUUCUUUCCCAGGGUGAUUCUGCUCCUUUGUUGCAUCUGGUUCUUGAACACUUUAUACUAUCAAACAGCAAAACUGCUUUUAUUGAUGCAGCAAAGAACAAUGGGAUCUUUCCAACAGUGCUCCCAGAAUACUCUCCUGGCUUUUUCCUGUGCCUGGCUUCCAACAGUAGACAAAAUGAUUAAGAUAUGUUAGGUUUACUCUGGUCACUUCAAUUGGAGAUUGGCAAUAUCAACAAAUGAUUCUGGUAAAUGGAUUAGCUCCUCUUCUCCGGCAAGGCUGAAGCGAUGUGUGCUUGCCCUGGCCGUGCUCUUUCUGUGAGACAGACAGCUGGAAAAGCAAAAGCAUGGGCAGUUUGACAGAGCGGGGCUGGGGGAGGCGGGGGUGCUGGCGCGGGGUCGCCGGGCUGUGAUCUCCGGCUGGUCGGACGUGCGGUGGCUGCUCGUCCCGCAGCUGCACCCGGAGCCUCACGCUCCGUCCUCCCUGGGGAAAUUUCAUCUGCACGGAGCAGGGAGGACGAGACCUGAAACCAGUUCUGCUCUGUGUGUGCGAACUGAGCUUUCCGGAGUGUCUCAGGACUGGCUUUGGCUUCUCCAUCUGAACAGAUGUCAGGGUAACCAUAUUAAGGCUAAGCCAUAUGAAAAAUUUGUAUGUAUAUUUUGGUGGCUACUUCCAGCCUUUGCCCCCUGGACAUAUCUAAAUCUGGUGACUCCUGACUGUCUGGGACUCCUUGUGUAAAACCGAAGCCGCGUGCCAUGUUUGAGGAGUGCGGCUCUGGAUGGGGCCGGGCUGCCGGUGUCCAUGGGGAUGAUGAGGGGACGCGGCUCUGGAUUGGGCCGGGCUGCCGGUGUCCGUGGGGAUGAUGAGGGAAUGCUGCUCAUUGGGGGAACUGUUCUGAACCCGCCUCAGCUGCAGGGAGGAACGAGGAGCUGGUCCGGCCAUGGAGAGCUGCAGAAAUCCCUGCCAGCCCGGGACAGAUCCGAGCUGUGCUGAACAAAUCCCCAAACCAACAAACCCCAUAAAACACGAGAGCGAAGUUGUCUUCGGGCUGCGCUGGCUUGGCAGAAGAGUGAGGUUUCCAGCCCCCGGGUUUUAAUUCUGUGAGUGCGUGUGCUGUGUGAUAUUUUUAUUUAUUGGUCAAUUCUGUUGGAGGGCCUUGUGGUGUGGCCUUUGUUUUCCUUCAGAUGUAAGGUACUUGUUAGAACCCUUUGCUCGCUGCCUUCCACUUCUAAUCGGCGUUCCCACAGCAGGUUGCGUCUGCCUUACUGGGCAAGAAAAGAGUCUGUAUACAGUGAUUGAAGAUUUCUCCUUUAUAAUAGUGCCUUUAAAAAAAAAGUGUAGUGCCAUUGAAAUCAAAGGCUGGCUUUCUGUGAUAAAGGGCCCUGCAAAUUGACCGCAGGGUCUUUCAGAGAAGUCUGUCUCCUUUUGAUACAGACAUUGCCAAGGGAAAAGAAAAGAGAAAAAUAAGGUUGAAAUAAGGUUGCCGGUGCUCGGAGGAGUAAACAGGUGAGCGUCGUUGUGUGAGUCCUGGGGAGCAGAUGCUGCUCCUGCCGCCUGUUCUGCUGUGGUUAUGGACGUCUCGGCUCUCGACAGCUUGUCAGCCCGCAGCCCCAGAGCUGUCGGUGCUGCAACAUGUCACCCGUCACGGUGACACGUCACCCAGAGCUGCGACACGUCACCCGUCACGGUGACACGUCACCCAGAGCUGCGACACAUCACCCGUCACGGUGACACGUCACCCAGAGCCGCGACACGUCACCCGUCACGGUGACACGUCACCCAGAGCCGCGACACGUCACCCAGCGCAGUGACAGCCGGACAAGCAGCACCCUCAGCACGGUCACCACCAACAGGCCCUCUGGGACAAGUCCCAGCAGUUCAAUCUACAGGCGAUUCUCGAGGUGGCGAGUAAAAGCUGACAUGAAUUUCUGAAUGGCAUUAAUAUAAUUUAUGAGGGCUUUUCCCCUGUAUACCAGUUCUAAAUAUAUAUGUAAGAAGGUGAUUAUCUUAAUGUAAUUCAUCAUUUCCUUGAAGUCUGUGCUCAACCUGAACCUGUUCGCUCUGAUAAGCAUUUAUGUACUGAAGGAAUUGAUGGUAUCUCUCUUUGCCUGUGGUCUUGAACAAAAACGCAGCCUAUGAGCUUAUAUUAAAAAAGGGCAAUUUC